UACGUAGGGUGCGAGCGUUGUCCGGAAUUAUUGGGCGUAAAGAGCUUGUAGGCGGUUUGUCGCGUCUGCUGUGAAAAUCCGGGGCUCAACCCCUGACUUGCAGUGGGUACGGGCAGACUAGAGUGUGGUAGGGGAGACUGGAAUUCCUGGUGUAGCGGUGAAAUGCGCAGAUAUCAGGAGGAACACCGAUGGCGAAGGCAGGUCUCUGGGCCACUACUGACGCUGAGAAGCGAAAGCAUGGGGAGCGAACAGGAUUAGA
rnacentral:rRNA from 1 species